AGGUGUAGUUUAUGGGAUGUUUCUGAUAAACUGUAGGUUUCCAUUUGAUUGGAAGGCUGUACAGGUGGUUUGGGAGAUGCGCAGUGUUGCCCAACGUCACACUCGGUGGUGGUAUAAAAUCCCCUGGGUUUGUCCUCCAGUCAUUUAUCUUGAGAAAAUACGAAGGCAGGAAAGCUACAUUACGCGCAAUUGUUGCUGUGAAGAACCCGAUAACAAGAUGACUAAAAUUGUGUUGGCUUACAUUGGGUUCCUUCUCCUUGCCAUGCAUUUUUCGUCACAGAUCCACGCGCAAAACACUACCACACAGUCCCCAACCAUGAAUGCUACGACCAGAGCUGGCGGUGCGAGUUUCAACAUGACCAAGAUGCCCGACGUCACCAAGAACAACAUUGCCAAAGGAGCCAGUGCAUCUUUGCAGUCCAGCUCGGUUGUGCUCAUCAUACCCAUCAUGGUGGGGGGCUCACUACAGGGGGGCUUCUAGAGGGUCUGUUGAGCAGUGAACAGACACCGGAAAGACUUGAACAUCAGCGGCCUAGAUGGGGCAAACUGUUUGACAAAGAGCCCAUUUAAAAAAUAAUAAUAAUGAGAAAGGCAGUCGUGUGCGCUCCUAACCGAAGAGAUUCGGUGGAGUUGUGUGCCAGAUGAGAAACCAUUUCUAUUUCACUGAUGGGAAUUGUUAUAUUCCCUCACCUUCUGGCUGCUUCAAACCAGUAGGCCUUCACACCUUGCACACUGGCCCCAUGCCCAUUGGCCGAACUGGAAUAUGGAAUUGUAUGAGUUUGCAUGUGAGAUUUAAUUGUAUGAAUCAUGAUGUGAUCUGCUUAGAUUUGUUUUUAAGGCCAGGUUCAAUUAACCUUUAAAAUGUAGGAUACUUGUGACAAUUUUCUUGUAUAAUAAAAAUACUAAAUAAAGAAACCUGAUGUUUCUUCUCCUGUCUCUAAAUUCUAAAGCUUGACCUGACAAGUCAUUUGCUCUGUUCCACUGGUCUCCAGCCCCUUUAUUGAUCACAUAGCUAAACCCAGGGAUUUCCUUAAGGUAGACUAGGUUUGAUGUGCCACAAUUUAAAUCCUAAUUUUAGAAUGGGUUAUAGGAAUGUUCACCUUUGGCCAGUUGUAGCAUUUAUGCCAUGUCAACUAGGACAUGACUUGUCUUGCAUUCCUUGUAUGGACUAAACAGUAUACGUUUCCUGACAGUUGACUCCGUUUUAGGCUGCUUUAAUUAGAUUUACUUUACCCUAGCUACAUUGACCUGGUUCCAGUCACUUACUAGCCUACAAAGAUGUUCAGGGGAAGGCUGGCUGUAAAGUAUAUUUGACCUAACACUAGUUUCUGGACACUGGGUCUUGCUGGUUGGCUCUACGCCUAAGGGAUGCUUAACUUUUUAGAAUGGUGACGUUGAGCCCAUAAAUCUAAACCGGGGAUUCUAAGCUGACUAAAGUUAUACCAAGGAUAAUCUGUCACCUCAAAUCAUUGUAAUUAUUUGACAUUCCUGCUAUUAGCCCAUACAGUUUGUCCUAAAUUCUGUCCUACAUCUGAGAUCAGGACACUUUGGUACAAUGUAUUUACUGUCUAGGCACCAUUUUUCAACUGAUACUGUGGGACCUUCAAACAACGUUUGUCUCACCUUUCCAGAGGGGUCAUAGUGUGUAGACCGUUCAUAUGCUACCAACAAGUUAGAGGCUGUUCAGACUUGUCCCAAGAUGGUUGGAGAGAAACUGAAUGUCUUCGCAAGCGACGAUGUGAGUAGACUGAUUUUUCGGGAUGUCUCAUGGUCUUACUCACCUUCCACACAGGCAGAUGUGGUGGAUUGAAACUCAUCCAGUGCAACAAAAACUAGCUUACAGACUUAUGAUGAUAUAAUGCUAAUUGACCUUAGGGGGUUGAAAUGCUGUAGAUUGUGGUAAUUUUCAAU
ensembl:lncRNA